rnacentral:rRNA from 1 species
GGCGAACGGGUGAGUAACGCGUAGGCAACCUGCCUUAGACGGGACAACAUUCCGAAGGAGUGCUAAUACCGGAUGAGAUCAUUUCCGCAUGGGAGAGUGAAGAAAGAUGGCCUCUACAUGUAAGCUAUCGCUAAAGGAUGGGCCUGCGUCUGAUUAGCUAGUUGGUAGUGUAACGGACUACCAAGGCGAUGAUCAGUAGCCGGUCUGAGAGGAUGAACGGCCACAUUGGGACUGAGACACGGCCCAAACUCCUACGGGAGGCAGCAGUGGGGAAUCUUCCGCAAUGGACGAAAGUCUGACGGAGCAACGCCGCGUGAGUGAUGAAGGAUUUCGGUUCCUGUAAAACUCUGUUGUUUAUGACGAACGUGCAGUGUGUGAACAAUGCAUUGCAAUGACGGUAGUAAACGAGGAAGCCACGGCUAACUACGUGCCAGCCGCAGC